rnacentral:rRNA from 1 species
GACGAACGCUGGCGGCGUGCUUAACACAUGCAAGUCGAACGGAAAGGCCCUGCUUGCAGGGUACUCGAGUGGCGAACGGGUGAGUAACACGUGGGUGAUCUGCCCUGCACUUCGGGAUAAGCCUGGGAAACUGGGUCUAAUACCGGGUAGGAGCCAUUUUUAGUGUGAUGGUUGGAAAGUUUUUUCGGUGUAGGAUGAGCUUGCUGCCUAUCAGCUUGUUGGUGGGGUAAUGGCCUACCAAGGCGGCGAAGGGUAGCCGGCCUGAGAGGGUGGACGGCCACAUUGGGACUGAGAUACGGCCCAGACUCCUACGGGGGGCAGCAGGGGGGAAUAUUGCACAAUGGGCGCAAGCCUGAUGCAGCGACGCCGCGUGGGGGAUGACGGCCUUCGGGUUGUAAACUCCUUUCGCUAGGGACGAAGCUUUUUGUGACGGUACCUAGAUAAGAAGCACCGGCUAACUACGUG